rnacentral:rRNA from 1 species
CCUACGGGAGGCAGCAGUGAGGAAUAUUGGUCAAUGGCCGAGAGGCUGAACCAGCCAAGUCGCGUGAGGGAUGAAGGUUCUAUGGAUCGUAAACCUCUUUUAUAAGGGAAUAAAGUGCGGGACGUGUCCCGUUUUGUAUGUACCUUAUGAAUAAGGAUCGGCUAACUCCGUGCCAGCAGCCGCGGUAAUACGGAGGAUCCGAGCGUUAUCCGGAUUUAUUGGGUUUAAAGGGAGCGUAGAUGGAUGUUUAAGUCAGUUGUGAAAGUUUGCGGCUCAACCGUAAAAUUGCAGUUGAUACUGGAUAUCUUGAGUGCAGUUGAGGCAGGCGGAAUUCGUGGUGUAGCGGUGAAAUGCUUAGAUAUCACGAAGAACUCCGAUUGCGAAGGCAGCCUGCCAAGCCAUUACUGACGCUGAUGCACGAAAG